rnacentral:rRNA from 1 species
CCUACGGGAGGCAGCAGUAGGGAAUAUUGCUCAAUGGGGGAAACCCUGAAGCAGCAACGCCGCGUGGAGGAUGAAGGUUUUCGGAUUGUACACUCCUUUUGUUAGAGAAGAUAAUGACGGUAUCUAACGAAUAAGCACCGGCUAACUCCGUGCCAGCAGCCGCGGUAAUACGGAGGGUGCAAGCGUUACUCGGAAUCACUGGGCGGAAAGAGCGCGUAGGCGGGAUAGCAAGUCAGAUGUGAAAUCCUAUGGCUUAACCAUAGAACUGCAUUUGAAACUGUUAUUCUAGAGUAUGGGAGAGGUAGGUGGAAUUCUUGGUGUAGGGGUAAAAUCCGUAGAGAUCAAGAGGAAUACUCAGUGCGAAGGCGACCUGCUAGAACAUAACUGACGCUGAUGCGCGAAAGCGUGGGGAGCAAACAGGAUUAGAUACCCCUGUAGUC